rnacentral:rRNA from 1 species
AACAAACGCUGGCGGCGUGCCUAACACAUGCAAGUCGUACGAGAGAGGGUCCUUCGGGGCCUGAGUAAAGUGGCGCACGGGCGAGUAACGCGUGGAUAAUCUGCCCUUCAGUUGGGAAUAACCCAUCGAAAGGUGGGCGAAUACCGAAUAAUGCUGUGAGACCUCGGUUGAUCACCCAAAGAGAGCUGCUGCUUGCAAGCCCUCGCUGAAGGAUGGGUCCGCGUACCAUUAGCUAGUUGGUAGGGUAAUGGCCUACCAAGGCGACGAUGGUUAGCUGGUCUGAGAGGAUGAUCAGCCACACUGGAACUGAGACACGGUCCAGACUCCUACGGGAGGCAGCAGUGAGGAAUCUUGCGCAAUGGGGGCAACCCUGACGCAGCAACGCCGCGUGAGUGAGGAAGGUCUUCGGAUCGUAAAGCUCUGUCGGAUGGCAAGAACCGCAUAGGGGUAAACAGCCCCUGUGUCUGACGGUACCAUCAAAGGAAGCACCGGCUAACUCCGUGCCAGCCGCCGCGGUAACAC